GGGAUAUUAGCAUAAUGGUAAUGUAUGUGACUUUUAAUCGACAACAUAUGAGUUCGAAUCUCGUAUAUCCUA